CGAACGCUGGCGGCGUGCUUAACACAUGCAAGUCGAACGGUGAACUCCGCUUGCGGGGGGAUCAGUGGCGAACGGGUGAGUAACACGUGGGCAACCUGCCCUCAGCUCUGGGAUAACUCCAAGAAAUUGGGGCUAAUACUGGAUAUGACCGCUGACCGCAUGGUCUGGUGGUGGAAAGAUUUAUCGGCUGGGGAUGGGCCCGCGGCCUAUCAGCUUGUUGGUGGGGUAGUGGCCUACCAAGGCGACGACGGGUAGCCGGCCUGAGAGGGUGACCGGCCACACUGGGACUGAGACACGGCCCAGACUCCUACGGGAGGCAGCAGUGGGGAAUAUUGCGCAAUGGGCGAAAGCCUGACGCAGCGACGCCGCGUGGGGGAUGACGGCCUUCGGGUUGUAAACCUCUUUCAGCAGGGACGAAGCGAAAGUGACGGUACCUGCAGAAGAAGCACCGGCCAACUACGU
rnacentral:rRNA from 1 species